AGCGGCAGGCUUACACAUGCAAGUCGAGGGGUAACAGGUCACUUCGGUGAUGCUGACGACCGGCGCACGGGUGAGUAACGCGUAUGGAACCUACCUGAAACAGGGGGAUAGCUUCCGGAAACGGGGAUUAAUACCCCAUACGAUUCAUUUGUGGCCUCACAAAUGGAUAAAAGCUACGGCGGUUUCAGAUGGUCAUGCGUACCAUUAGUUAGUUGGUGAGGUAAAGGCUCACCAAGGCGAUGAUGGUUAGGGGUCCUGAGAGGGUAGUCCCCCACACUGGUACUGAGACACGGACCAGACUCCUACGGGAGGCAGCAGUGAGGAAUAUUGGUCAAUGGGCGCUAGCCUGAACCAGCCAUGCCGCGUGCAGGAAGACGGCCCUACGGGUUGUAAACUGCUUUUCUGCAGGAAGAAUAUAUAGUCUUAGGGCUAUAUUGACGGUACUGCAGGAAUAAGCAUCGGCUAACUCCGUGCCAGCAGCCGCGGUAAUACGGAGGAUGCAAGCGUUAUCCGGAUUCAUUGGGUUUAAAGGGUGCGCAGGCUGUAAAGCAAGUCAGUGGUGAAAGCCCUGGGCUUAACUCAGGGAUUGCCAUUGAAACUGUUUUACUAGAGUGUAGUAGAGGACGGCGGAAUGAGUUGUGUAGCGGUGAAAUGCAUAGAUAUAACUCAGAACACCUAUUGCGUAGGCAGCUGUCUAUACUACAACUGACGCUGAGGCACGAAAGCGUGGGGAGCGAACAGGAUUAGAUACCCUGGUAGUCCACGCUGUAAACGAUGAUCACUCGUUGUUGGCUACUUAGUAGUCAGUGACCAAGGGAAACCGAUAAGUGAUCCACCUGGGGAGUACGUCGGCAACGAUGAAACUCAAAGGAAUUGACGGGGGCCCGCACAAGCGGAGGAACAUGUGGUUUAAUUCGAUGAUACGCGAGGAACCUUACCUGGGCUUAAAUGCUGGCUGCAUUGGAGGGAAACCUUCAUUUCCUACGGGACCGCCAGCAAGGUGCUGCAUGGUUGUCGUCAGCUCGUGCCGUGAGGUGUCGGGUUAAGUCCCAUAACGAGCGCAACCCCUAUCGCUAGUUGCCAGCAUGUAAUGGUGGGGACUCUAGCGAGACUGCCGGUGUAAACCGGAGGAAGGUGGGGAUGACGUCAAAU
rnacentral:rRNA from 1 species